rnacentral:rRNA from 1 species
UACGGGGGAGCAAGCGUUGUUCGGAUUUACUGGCGUAAAGAGCGCGCAGGCGGUCGUUCAAGUCGGAUGUGAAAGCCCGGGCUCAACCUGGGAAUUGCAUUCGAGACUGAAUAGCUAGGGUACGGUAGAGGGAAGUGGAAUUCCGGUGUAGCGGUGAAAUGCGUAGAUAAUCGGAAGGAACAUCAGUGGCGAAAGCGACUUCCUGGACCAGUACCGACGUUCAGGCACGAAAGCGUGGGGAGCAAACAGG